CAUUGGGAAGCUAAACAGCAUUAACCUUUUAAGUUAAAGAUUGGGAGCACACAUCUCUCCCCAAUGA
rnacentral:tRNA from 1 species